rnacentral:tmRNA from 1 species
GCGCCAGAGAGCAGGGGUGCUGUCUCCCCGACGCCGAUAGGGGAGGCCUAAGACCGAUCGGCUGGCCCGUCGGCACGCUGCCAGCGGCGGUACGGCGGGCGAGACCCAAGCGCUGGCUAAGCCUGUAGCCGGUCCGGGUUGGUCUUCCCCUGGACGAGGGGUUCGACUCCCCUCCGUCUCCACCA